rnacentral:rRNA from 1 species
CGUGUAGGCGGCCUGUUAAGUUAGAAGUGAAAGUCCUGAUUUCAAGUUGGGAAUUGCUUUUAAUACUGAUGGGCUUGAGUGCAGAAGAGGUAAGUGGAAUUCCCAGUGUAGCGGUGAAAUGCGUAGAGAUUGGGAGGAACACCAGUGGCGAAGGCGACUUACUGGGCUGUAACUGACGCUGAGGCGCGAAAGCGUGGGGAGCGAACA